rnacentral:rRNA from 1 species
GUGGGGAAUAUUGGACAAUGGGCGAAAGCCUGAUCCAGCCAUGCCGCGUGUGUGAAGAAGGUCUUCGGAUUGUAAAGCACUUUAAGUUGGGAGGAAGGGCAGUAAGUUAAUACCUUGCUGUUUUGACGUUACCAACAGAAUAAGCACCGGCUAACUUCGUGCCAGCAGCCGCGGUAAUACGAAGGGUGCAAGCGUUAAUCGGAAUUACUGGGCGUAAAGCGCGCGUAGGUGGUUUUGUAAGUUGGAGGUGAAAUCCCCGGGCUCAACCUGGGAACUGCCUCCAAAACUGCAUGACUAGAGUACGGUAGAGGGUAGUGGAAGUUCCUGUGUAGCGGUGAAAUGCGUAGAUAUAGGAAGGAACACCAGUGGCGAAGGCGACUACCUGGACUGAUACUGACACUGAGGUGCGAAAGCGUGGGGAGCAAACAGGAUUAGAAACCCGGGUAGUCC